CAAGAUGUAGCUAAACACAAAGCACUCAGCUUACACCUGAAAGACACCUGUUCAUAACCAGGUCAUCUUGA
rnacentral:tRNA from 1 species